CGGGGAGGGAGCGCGCACCAAGGCGUCUUCUGCGGCUGCGCGCACUCGAGGCGUGCACGCCCGUCGGCUGGCCGGCUCCCUCAGGGCGUCUGUGCAGCCUACUCUUUCCGGUGGUUUGUGCUGCAGACAGGUCUCUGGGUUAGGCUCUUCAGCUGGAGUGCAUCCCACCGCUUCCUUCUUGGCCUUGGCUGUUAGGACAUCUGGCCAACUGUGUCUGUGACGUCUGACCCACAGAUCCAGCCAACCACGGAUGGAUCUGAUUAGGAGAAAGGAAUUCCACCUGAGAGCGCACGUCUGCUUCUGCCUCCGGACAGCUCAGGCAAGGGGCACCUCUGGUGCCGCUUAGCUGGCAGCGAGCAGGGGC